rnacentral:misc_RNA from 1 species
GAAUUAAACAUGCUUGGUGUCUUCGCUUCGGCAAGGCCCUUGCUUAACUCACAUCCCAACACCUGUGAACUGUAAGGCGCAUGACUAGGUUCGCCAAGUCAUCGUCUGCCCUUUUUAACAAACAAUUAAUGUAACAAACGUAGUCUUAUUAUAACCUAAUAAAACUUUCAACAACGGAUCUCUUGGCUCU